CUAGGGAACGUGAGCUGG
rnacentral:miRNA from 1 species